UGCCAGCCGCCGCGGUAAUACGGAGGGUCCAAGCGUUAUCCGGAUUUAUUGGGUUUAAAGGGUGCGUAGGCGGAAUAAUAAGUCAGUGGUGAAAUCCUACAGCUUAACUGUAGAACUGCCAUUGAUACUGUUAUUCUUGAGUAUGGUUGAAGUGGGCGGAAUAUGGCAUGUAGCGGUGAAAUGCUUAGAUAUGCCAUAGAACACCGAUUGCGAAGGCAGCUCACUAAGCCGUAAUUGACGCUGAGGCACGAAAGCGUGGGGAGCGAACAGGAUUAGAUA
rnacentral:rRNA from 1 species